AAUUAGUAUCGGCAAACCUUCCGAAAGGGGGGGACGCAAAGCCAUGGGUCUAAAGACACAAGUCAAUGACUGCCAGGUUGCAAUU
rnacentral:ncRNA from 1 species